GCAAGUCGAGCGGAAACGAUGAUAGCUUGCUAUCAGGCGUCGAGCGGCGGACGGGUGAGUAAUACUUAGGAAUCUACCUAGUAGUGGGGGAUAGCACGGGGAAACUCGUAUUAAUACCGCAUACGACCUACGGGAGAAAGGGGGCAGUUUACUGCUCUCGCUAUUAGAUGAGCCUAAGUCGGAUUAGCUAGAUGGUGGGGUAAAGGCCUACCAUGGCGACGAUCUGUAGCUGGUCUGAGAGGAUGAUCAGCCACACCGGGACUGAGACACGGCCCGGACUCCUACGGGAGGCAGCAGUGGGGAAUAUUGGACAAUGGGGGAAACCCUGAUCCAGCCAUGCCGCGUGUGUGAAGAAGGCCUUUUGGUUGUAAAGCACUUUAAGCAGUGAAGAAGACUCUUCGGUUAAUACCCGGAGACGAUGACAUUAGCUGCAGAAUAAGCACCGGCUAACUCUGUGCCAGCAGCCGCGGUAAUACAGAGGGUGCAAGCGUUAAUCGGAAUUACUGGGCGUAAAGGGAGCGUAGGUGGCUCGAUAAGUCAGAUGUGAAAUCCCCGGGCUCAACCUGGGAACUGCAUCUGAUACUGUUGAGCUAGAGUAUGUGAGAAGAAGGUAGAAUUCCAGGUGUAACGGUGAAAUGCGUAGAGAUCUGGAAGAAUACCGAUGGCGAAGGCAGCCUUCUUGC
rnacentral:rRNA from 1 species